ACUGUGGAGUGUACAUUGUUGUUCCAACAUUGGAACUUGUGAGUAGCGUGUUGCUUGCAAUCGUCAAAACAUGCACAAUGAAGCAGUAA
rnacentral:ncRNA from 1 species